rfam:Salmo salar isolate Sally breed double haploid chromosome ssa13, whole genome shotgun sequence.
UGCAUUCACUACUGUAAGUCGCUCUGGAUAAGAGCGUCUGCUAAAUUCUCUGUC